rnacentral:rRNA from 1 species
GACGAACGCUGGCGGCGUGCUUAACACAUGCAAGUCGAACGGAAAGGCCCUGCUUUUGUGGGGUUCUCGAGUGGCGAACGGGUGAGUAACACGGGAGUAACCUGCCCUGGACUUGGGGAUAACUUCAGGAAACUGGGGCUAAUACCUGAUAGGAGCUCCUGCUGCAUGGGGGGGGUUGGAAAGCUUCGUCGGAUGGGGAUGGACUCGCGGUUUAUCAGCUGGUUGGUGGGGUAGUGGCUUACCAAGGCUUUGACGGGUAGCCGGUCUGAGAGGAGGAUCAGGCACAUGGGAACUGAGAGAGGGUCCAGACGACUACGGGAGGCAGCAGUGGGGAAUAUGGGGCAAUGGGCGAAAGUCUGAGCCAGCCAUGCCGCGUGUGUGAAGAAGGUCUUCGGAUUGGAAAGCACUUUAAGUUGGGAGGAAGGGCAGUAAGUUAAUACCUUGCUGUUUUGACGUGACCAACAGAAUAAGCACCGGCUAACUUCGUG